GCGCUGUUAGCUCAACUGGAUAGAGCACCUGACUACGGAUCAGGAGGUUAGAGGUUCGAAUCCUCUACGGCGCA
rnacentral:tRNA from 1 species